AUGCAUCUGAAGAGUCUGCUUGAAAGACACAAUAAUGAGUGCUGCGUGAACCCCAGCAGGGCCAUUCCAGAUGCUCCACAGGACAGCACUGAAUGCACCGCAGUGAGCCUGGGAGGCCCUGGGCUACUGCUGCCUCCCCUUCUCUGGGCUGAACAUCAAGAAACCUCAAACCUGAGACACGGUGGGAAAUCAGGAAGACAUGAGGCUUUGCUCAACACUGGAGAACACCAGUUCUUUUCAGUUUGUAUGCAUCUUUAUCAGCAUGGCCAUGACGUGUGUAAGGCAUUUCCAAGGGUGAGAUUUCCUCUGAAAUGUCCAAAGAAGUCAACCGCAUUUCAAAAACUACCACAAACUAAAUUAAAAGGCAAAUAUCACAAUUUAUUCUCAUAUUAGGUUUUUGAGUGAAAGAUUGGAUUCUAAUCUCAGUUCUGCCAUUUCUUCACUGGGGGUUUUGUUUUAAUCUUAGUUUCUCCAUUUUUCCUCCCUUCCUUUCUCUCUUCUUUUCUUCUUCUCUUCCCUCCUUCCUAUGUGGUUUGGCUGUGUCCUCACCCAAAUCUCAUCUUGAAUUGUAGUUCCCAUAAUCCCCAAGUGUGGUGAGAGGGACCUAGUGGGAGGUAAUUGAAUUAUGGGGGUGGUUUCCCCCAGGCUAUUCUUGUGAUAGUAAGUUACCACGAGAGCUGAUGGUUUUACAAGGGGCUUCCCCCUACGCUUGGCUCUCAUUCUUCUCUCUCUUGCCACUUGGGAAGAAGGAUGUGUUUGCUUUCCUUCCACCAUGAUUGUAAGUUUCCUGAGCCCUCCCCAGCCCUGCAGAACUGUGAGCCAAUUUAAUUUAUUUCCUUUAUAAAUUACCCAGUCUCUGUCCUUAUAGCAACAUGAGAAUGGACUAAUACACCUUUCAUUAAAUUAGCACUUAUCUCAACAGUUGAAAUGUUUUUACAAAGGUUUUGAAGCAUUAAAGAUAAUGAGUUAUUAAGAACUAGAUAUUUGAUUUAAGGAUCACACUUUUUUGCUCUUUUGACUCCAUAUCAACAUUCUGCAGUUGGUAGGGCUCCUCCCAUUAUCUCCAUUACCCAGAUGGGGAAACUCUUUAAAUGGCUCUCUUAAGAUCCACUGUGUGAUUUAGUAAAAUAUUGGGUCUAGAACCCAUAUCAUUAACUCGCACCUGUCUGUGAAAUCUGUGAACUUCUGGUGCCGAUGAUAUUAUGAAUCCCUCCAAGUAGAGGCGUGGUCUUCAGUCACCCAGAGCAGGUGUUCCAAACACCACUG
rnacentral:lncRNA from 1 species